UAUACAGCGAGGAAGAGGAGAAGUAUCCGCUACGAUGCUGCAUAGAGAGCCCCUGGACGGUGAAAAGGGGAGAGCGGACGGCGGCGAAUACACCUUGGAGCUGGCACCCCAACGGCUUUUGCCCAGUAGGCGUGCUCCGGGAGCGCCCGUUACCGCGCUGUCGUGUGAUGGCACGACGUGAGGCCGUCUCCGUGAGGGGGCGGUGAACCAGAGGUGGUACCGCGAAUCUGUUCGCCCUCUGU
rnacentral:ncRNA from 1 species